AUCGCUCGGUGUUUUCCUCCCAUUGCGCCGGGCGAUGUUCCCCUCUGAAGGUUAUGACCUUCAUUCUUGGCCGGGCCGCUUUUGCGCCCGGCCUUU
rnacentral:sRNA from 1 species